rnacentral:snRNA from 1 species
AUCGCUUCUCGGCCUUUUGGCUAAGAUCAAGUGUAGUGUCUGUUCUUAUCAGUUUAAUAUCUGAUACGUCUCCUACUCGGGGACCAUAUAUUAAAUUGAUUUUUGGAACAGGAAGAUGGAAUAGGGGCUUGCUCCGUCCACUCUGUGCAUUGACCUGGUAUUGCAGUACCUCCAGGAACGGUGCACCCCCU